GACGAACGCUGGCGGCGUGCUUAACACAUGCAAGUCGAACGGAAAGGCCCUGCUUUUGUGGGGUGCUCGAGUGGCGAACGGGUGAGUAACACGUGAGUAACCUGCCCUUGACUUUGGGAUAACUUCAGGCAACUGGGGCUAAUACCGGAUAGGAGCUCCUGCUGCAUGGUGGGGGUUGGAAAGUUUCGGCGGUUGGGGAUGGACUCGCGGCUUAUCAGCUUGUUGGUGGGGUAGUGGCUUACCAAGGCUUUGACGGGUAGCCGGCAUGAGAGGGUGACCGGCCACAUUGGGACUGAGAUACGGCCCAGACUCCUACGGGAGGCAGCAGUGGGGAAGAUUGCACAAUGGGCGGAAGCCUGAUGCAGCAACGCCGCGUGCGGGAAGACGGCCUUCGGGUUGUAAACCGCUUUCGCCUGUGACGAAGCGUGAGUGACGGUAAUGGGUAAAGAAGCACCGGCUAACUACGUG
rnacentral:rRNA from 1 species